UUUCCCAUCACGUAAGUGAGUAAGAUCCCUAGAAGAUGACUAGGUAGAUAGGUCAGAGAUGGAAGCAUGGCGACAUGUGGAGUUGACUGAUACUAAUCGAUCGAGGACUUAACCACAA
rnacentral:rRNA from 1 species